rnacentral:tRNA from 1 species
GGGGGUAUAGCUCAGCUGGGAGAGCGCCUGCUUUGCACGCAGGAGGUCAGCGGUUCGAUCCCGCUUACCUCCA